ACACCGAGCUACCCUGCCGGCAGCACAGAGUGAACAGCGCCGUGCACCCAUCUGGGCCUGACCUGCCUACAUUGUUAGCCUAAAAUACUUGUGAGUAUAUAUACAGCAUGGUAAGGAACUAAUUUUUGAAGCCAGUGUGGGGGCUCCAGGGCACUCCGCCAUUUCCUCUUUUCCCUAAAGCUGUUAAACUAAAUUAUAGGGCUGGGAGAAUGAGAGGCCAGCUGUGCUUCAGCUGCAGGCCCCAGUUGUUGUGACAAAGUGAAAAGUGUGGGUACCAACAGAUCAUUAACUGUGCAGCCAAAAAUAGGCUGAUGAUUGGAUCUCACGCUCUGCUCUGAGGAGACCGUGGACCCAACUCUGGCAGGUGCUGGUUCUAGCCCAGGAUGGCACUGACUCUCACAGCCAAAGGGGCAUUGACAAUUGCCCCUAACACACCACCUCACGUUCUUCUUACUUCAUUACAUAAGGGCAAGUUUUAUUUUUUUAUAAACUGUUCUUAAAAUUGACAGGGGUUUUUGUCUCUGUUUUGGUUUUGUUUUUAAAAUUUCCCCACAAUUUCCUGUUGCCUUGCCUCUUUGGCUGAGUUCGACUUUCCUGUUGACUAUAAUUACUGCGAGUCUGGUGAAGAGUUGAAAAAUCUAAGUUGACAUUAAAGGUGCAUUACACUUGAAUAAACCCAGAGACAGAAUAUCACACGUUGGUUUGGAGUUGCCCCUGUGUUUUGUCUAGAUUAACAAAUUUAGACGGCUUUUGAUUUGCAUAGCAUUAAUAACUGCUGGGGCAAUCUCUGGAACUUGUAAACACUGCUCAUAAAUAGUCGCUAAAGUGUGAGGUUGAAUAAACAUUACCUCGAUGGUUUGUGAAGGACUGGCCAGCAUGAAACCAAAUUGUGCUUUGAAAUAAGACCUUUGUCAUUGGGAAGGAGUGGAGAGAAAACAGGACUGGGACACUAAACAGUAGCUACUUCAAUUUCUUGACUGCUUAGCAAUCCACAAGUGACCAGAAACGGUUGACAUCAUCUGUGGUGCCUCAGUUUCUCUCUCAUUAUUUGUAAACUGGCAAUCAUAGUCUAGAAGACUGAUGUUUUAUGCAGUCACUUAUUCAUUCCAUGUUGGAAGAAGAACUGAGAAUAUUUUUUUGGCUGCAGCCUUGUCACGUGAACGUACAAAUUUUGACCUUGAAGAAUCCAUAGACACCUUCCAGUUCUGCGUCAUUUUACACAGGGGGCAUCCCAGGCCCAGGGAGCUGCAUGGAGCUGGUUAGGCUCUCUGCUGCAGACCAAGCAGAGGCAUCAUUUCUCAAGGCUUCUGUCAUCUGUGGCUAUCAGCUUUGCUAUCAUGACUCACAUUUGCAACCUGGCCUAUUUUCCGGGCAAAUGUGGACUGGCCUGGACUUGGCAGAGGCUCGUAGAGGAGAUGUUUGCAAAUGAAGAUGCAUAAAAAGUUUAAAGCUUAAUGGAAAUUCAAAAUUUAAACUUACUUAGGAGAAAGGGUUUUAAUCAUACAACUUAGAAUAUUCUUCUUUCCACGCUUUCUGAGAUGUUGCUAAGUAAAGGAAAGCUAAUAGCCAGAGAAGAUGUAGGGAAGUGUUCCUGACCAGGCACUGGGGGCCCUGUCUUGUUCCUAACUAACUGUACUGGUCAUGAUAAUGUUUGCUGAGCAUUUACUAUGUGCUAGGAUUUUAGGUAAUGUGGUUAACCAUACAGUAUCUCAUUUAGACCUCACAAGGAAUCUUUGAGGUAAGUGCUGUUAUUGUCACUAUUUUAUAUUUUUAAAAAGUUCAAAGGAGGCUAACAUUCGCCCAAGGCCACAUGACUGGUAGUGCAACCAGGAUUUUAACCCUGAGAUUCUGGCAACCCGUGCUGCCUGUGCUUAUCUCUGUUUUGAUUCUGUCACUGAGAUGCCGGGCCUUUCAAGGUACCGUGCAGAUGCUUGGGCUGCCCAGCGCUGGUGAUUUCUUGUUGGGGAACACUCCGAUGAUUAACUGAAUGUCUUCGCUUCUUGUUCGUGUGAAGCACACAUGUGUUUGGGCACCGCGUGUGGAGGCUGUGGAAGGCUCCCAGAUGAGGGCACGUGGCACUCAGGGUUUGCCCACUUACCAUUUGAGCCAUCGACAGGCACGAGGAUGGGAAGUUGGGCCUCGGUGAAACGCCCUGGCUGGAAAUGCCUGGUCUGCUAAGCGGGGAAUACUCUGGGUUGAAGCACUUGUUUUGAUGACGUGUUUCACUGGUUGCAUCAUCAUUUAAAUAAUGACCAGUCUCAGGGCUUAUUUCUCAACAGAAUUCUAGUUUUCAGGUCUGUAACGAUGGGCAGAUUUUCCAUGACACGACUAAAGUCCAACGCCAGUGCCACUUCUCCCAUGAUGCUUCCCGUUCUCUCUUGUGCCCACCGAGGCCCUGUGGCUUUUCCUUGAAACUUCCCCGUGGCCCUCAUCGCGUGCCUCAUCUUGUGUCACAGUUAUCUGCGCAGCAGAGAAAAAGGAGCACAGACCUCACAGACAGACAGAUUGGGCUCAACAUGCACCUGGGCCUUGAGGAGAAUCUGCCUGUGCAGGGAGGCUCACAUGCUGACCGCGAGCAGACGGAACAAUCCUCGUUUGUUCAUGGAGAAACAAGACCACGGGUGACUCUGGGUAACUGAGACCUCAGGAAGUGAAACCUCAGAUAAAGGUGGGUAGGGGAACUGCUGAAGCAUUUACGUCACUUUGAUUUUCUAGCAAUCCUGCGAAACAGGUAUUUAGUGGCCAUUUUACUAAUAAGAAAACUAAGCCUCAGUAUUAAAGUUUACACAACUAGAAAGUGAUAGAUGUGAGGUCACGUUGCUCUGUCUUCAAUUUGGUUUAUAGAGAAGCACACGUCUUAUGAAAUGCACUUUCCUUAUUUCAGUAAUUUUAAGAGGUACAAGAUAGUGACACAUAAUAAGCUUUCAAUAGUAUAUAUUGAGUGGAUAAUAGAAGUUUCAGAAAUUUCCACCUUAAUUUUACAGCAAAGUCCAAAGACUGGUCUUGCCCCUCCCAUGGGGGGCUGGCAUGUCCUCUAGUAGAGGUGAGUGUGGAAACUUUCUAUCCUUCUGAGAUUGAGAUUUGUGAAAAUGAGGUAGGGAAGAUGGGAUGGCCCGUUUACUUUCCAUUCCUCAUUAUAUUUUGACUUUUUCUUCUAGAGUUGGUUUUACUAAGUGGAUACCAUUUGAGCACCAUAUUAGCCAAUAUCCUGGGAUGAUUAAAAAGAUACUGUAAUUGAGAAAAAAGAAGGAAUUUUUUGUAUUCAUUUUCUCUCAUUCCUAUCCUUACUAUAGUUUAAAUGUGGUCAUCAAAGAGACACCAAAAUGAAGUUCAAGAAUGUACAGGAAGGCAGUGGUGUAAAAUUAGUUGGAAAAUAACUGUCACUAAAAUGUCAGAAGUGAGUCUUAAAGUACCACUCAUCCCACUGAGUCCACCAAUGGGUCAAAUUGAAAGAGAAACCCAUCUGAGGGUGGUGGCUUUAGGAGCUCAUCUUAUGGGAAUGAGGCUGUGUCUCAACAGUUUAGAAUUAUGUGAUCUUGGUAAUGAAUUAUGAAGAAUUGCCUUUGCAGGAUUCUGCAGGUGAAGAAACUGAGUCCCACAGAGGUGGGAUGACCUGGGCAAAGGUGCACAAUCAUGUCAGUCUGCCUUUCCAUGCACGUUAUUGUGCACUAGUAUUUUCUCUUUUUUCUUCUUAUUUUUGUAUUUUUUCUCUACUUUUUUGUUUUGUUUCUUGAAGAAAAUUCAACACAGCCCAACAGGAAAGUUUUACCUGGCAGAUCCCAGACCAGGCUGAGAUUCCUCACAUAGCAGGGAUGCAUUGCCAUCCCCACAAACAUUGAGAAUUCUGCAUUUUUAUUGGCUCGUGAGGUGGCAGUGAUAGCAUGUAAUGAAUUGGUAAAAUGUUUGAAUGGCCUUAUUUUCUUAUAGCUGAUGAACUCUGGGCAGGUACGUAGUUUAAGCAUAGGGAAGGAUUUUACAUCAUGACUUCCAGAGCUUUUACUGAAUACAGAAAAAUAUUAGCAUUCUUAGUUGUGUCACUGGUUUCUCCAGAUAUUGUAAAAUUUCCACAUGUAGACAGAAACUAUUGGCUUGCUUGUCUUCCUUGCAGACCAGCUACAGUGUGUAUUCAACAAGUUAAAACCUGGUGGGCUUCUUAACUAGGGAAAGUGUGUACAUUUAUCCAAGGUGAAAUAAGGUUGCCAUUAAUUUUCUGAUUUACAGGGUGAUUAAAUGAAAAAAAAAAAAAAGGAUAGAAACAAUUGCAAGCAGAUUGGGAAAAUGUUCUUUAUCCUUUCCAGAAUAUUUCUGAUUUUUAUUAUCAUUAACAUCUGAGCAUUUCAAUAUAGGUCAUAUGUUUUAACAAACAGCUUAAACUGAAUACAUUUUUUAAAACUCUCACUUGUGAGUAUUGACUAAGUAAAUUUUACUCAUUGUGGUAAUGGUGAGAAAGCAACCUGGUUAUGAUCAAGUUGUCAGCAUUUCAUUCAUUUAAAAACCCCAAUAUGGCCAGGAGACGUUUCCCUCCUCCCCACUCCCCGCUGCCCAUCCUCACUGGAUUGGAUUAUUCUCCCUAUAGAGGGAGACUCCUCAGGCAUAAGCUCACAUUUAGAUGCUGAAAGACAAUAUUCUAUCUAGACUAUUUCUCAUCUUUACAUCCAGAUUUAUUUUCUUCAACAUUCUAUAUUAGUUUGAAUGCCUCUGGAUAUAUCAGCAGAACACAAUCCUAUAAUAAAUUUUGUUUUGGGAAUAAAAAUAUCCAACAAUGCCCUUAUCUUUUAAAGCUUCCCAGAUUCAAAUUUGAUUUUUUUUUUUUAAGUUUGGGUUUAGUUAAAAUAAAACGAAACAAACCACACAGGCUUAAAAGAAUCCCAGAUAACUUUGGCUGAUAGAACUUGUCAUGCUAGAGCUGACUGUUUUGUUUUUGGCAGAUAAUCCUCAAGAAAAAAGCAGAGGAUGGGGCACAGUGUGAGUUUACUGCUGGAUGGAGUUAUUUAUUAUUGGGGCAUUUUGUUUGAAAACACAACUGUUUUUUAAGGGACAAAGGUGCAUAGCUCCUUACAUAAUUAUCUAUUUUUAUAUCAUGUUAUAAAUUGGAAGUAUGUACCCCUUUUAUUCAUUUAUUUCAAGAAAUGCAUAUGAAAUACUACUUGUUGGAAAUUGUGUGAUGUUCAGGAACAGUGAGGAUGACUGAGACUUAGUCCGUACCCUGAAAUAAAGAGAUUGAAAGAUAAGUGAGCUUGGUAAUCAGUCAGCCAAUACUCAUUGAGCAUGGUCUGUGCUGCCCACUCGACUAAGUUUGGGGGACAUAGCAGCGAGCCAGCUGGGCAUGGUCUCUGCUGUCAUGAAGCUUGGGACAGAGAAGCCACCAUUAAACACAGAAACAGGUGUGCUGAGUCCCAAGCAGGACAGGAACAUGGCCCUGUAGGUUGGAUAUAGGGACAUUUUGUUGGGGGAGCCAGAGAAGGGAUUACUAAGGAAGAAUUAUUGACUCUGAUUUCUGAAGUAAGAGUUAUAGUCAGGGCUAAGAUCAGGAGUUAGGGGGUGGUGAGUAUUUCAGGCAGAGGGAAUGGCUUGCACCAGGGAAGUGAGGUGGGAAAGAGUGGGUUUAUCUAGGAAGCAUGGAAAGUUGGGUGUGCCCAAAGGAGUAAGAGUGAGUGAGAGAGAGAGAUGGGGGCCUCUUUAGAGCUGAGUUCCCUCCUGGAGGGACCUGCGUCUGCAGAUUGCAAAUGAGCAUUGCAGUCAGCUGCUGCAUUCGCUACCUAAGCAAACAAACCAACAGACCACAACAUCAAGGCUCAGGAUAGCUCAGUCUAAGUUCAUCACCUCAAGGGAUUUGGUAUUAUACCUCAAAGCUUUUUAGUUCAUUUUACAAGCAUGUACCAAAAUAAAGCCAGUGCUAAUGAAAUACCAGCCUCUGAUAUCUGGCUCAGGGUUCCGCUGUUUUCAGAUUUUUUUAGGUGGUCUACACUUUAGUCACAUUUUGGCCCCUCUUUAGUUCUUUCAGCAAACCAGGUGUUUUGAGAUUGCUCAAGCUUUUAUAAACAGGGGUUGGAAAAAGUCCAGAAAUGACGCACAUCUCCUUGCAGGAGGUGGAAAAAGUGAUAAACAAAAGUGAUUAUCAGUGUGUAAGAGUGAAUUUGUGUGUGUGUGUGUGGAGGGGGGGAACCUCAAAAACCAAACCCUCAGAGACGUAGGUCAUUUUGGAAGUCUUUCCCAGGUUGAGCAAUAGAAUCUGUAUCAGAGCUCAGUGUAGUAAUUAGGUUUGGGUUUAUUUACAGAGGGAGAUAACAAUUUUGGGAGGAAUCAGUGUGACUUAAGAUUUUUCAGAUGAAAACAGCACACCCAUAUAUCCACAUCAUCUGCAGCUAUCAUCUUAUUUUACUCUCCUCCCAUUCCCUAAAGAAAAAAUAAAUAAAGCACAUUCUCUGGAUCUUUUGGAUUACAUGCUAGGUAUAAUUAAUAUGUCUGUUGAGUUUCCCACGUGGGUGGCACUGUAUAACAGUUCAGGAAAAAAUGUUUCUUUCAACACUUUGAACAUCAUCAGUCAUUUGAUUCAACUUUUUUUGCACGUCUUUUUUUUGAGUUUUAAUAAAACAUUUUAAGCACUACUGAACGUAUUUGGGGGGUGAUGUUGUUCACAGGUAUCUCUCUUAAUUUUUCUGAACCAUACAUAUUAGUGAGAUUUGCAAUGCUUAAAUGUCUAUAGAGUGUAAUGCUCUGUCUCCUAAGCUGCAACUCUCCAAAGUAAAUACAUAUGCAUUCUCUUGUGAAGUUUGUGCUUUCAUUUGUUUGACUCAUUUCAUUCUUUGACUCAACCCAGAAUAAGUACCCUUUACAUAGUUUGGGAAUUGAUAGUUUCAUUCAUUAUAUUUACCUUUGCUGAGUAUUUACUGGUCAGAAGUCAUUGAUUCUCAGGCAGUCUAGGCUAUAAGAUAAUGCCGUUGCCACAAAUUGGAAAAAAAAGGUGAUGACAAACCAAAUAGGCUAAAAAUACAGUUCACUUGGACAGGUAAAACAAACAACCUGGAGGGUUAAUGGAAAGCACGCAUGCUGUGGGGCUCCAGAUCCUGGCUUACUCCUUAUUAUCUUUUUGCCCUUAAGUGAGUCAUUAACCUGUGCUGAGUGUUGUUUUUUUUUUUCAACUAUAAAUGGAUAUAAUACAUACUAUAAAGAUUGUUGAGAGGACUGGCAAUAUGCAUAUACAUGACAAGGCACCUGAUAAAUGGCAGUUAUUCUUGUCCUUAAUAGUAAUGAUAACAUACAUCAUGCAUGGCCAAAUCUCCUCCUCCUCAGAGCUCUCACCUUCAGAGAGUGAACUAAUAAGAGCAUGGUAGCAAAGUAUUGCCCUGAGGCCCAGCUGGACUUCAAAUUAAACAAGAAUUGGAGUUGGAAAGCUACUAAAAUAAAAGCAAGCAAAAUCUGGGAGCAGUAGGUGAGUUGCACAGGAAGAUACAUUUAGUUGCAUGUAUGGAUGGCUUUUCUAAUGAAUGGGAACAUUCUAGAAAGAAUGUGGCUGCCUCAUGAGGCCUGUGUUCCUGGUCUAAAUGAUUCCCAGCAGAAGCUGAUUGACAUUUGGCUCACACUGAUGCCAGGGAGAUUUUCCCUUUGGGUGGAAAUGUGGAUGAAUAAUUUAAAAUGGUUUCUCUGACUCUAAGAUUCUGUGAGUCUAUGGCAGGAUGAAUUUGUGGUGGUGGUAUGGAAGGACAGGAAGACCUUUGAAUCCAGCAUCAGGAAGAAUUACUCCCAGUGACAUUUAUUCUGUUCUGAAACACUCUGUUCUCAUGGAUUUGGAAGAAAGUAGUAGUCGAGAUUCAUUUAUCCUGUAGUUUAGAGUCACACAUUCUGUAGAGUUGGCAAGGUCCACAAAAGUCAUCAGAUCCAACCUUGUACUCACUUUCAGAAUCUCCUGAUCCAUCAUGAAAGGUAGCAUUGAGUUGGCUCAAUUGCUUCCAGGGACAGAAAACUUAGCAAGCUUGGCCUCAGAGCUCCUGAAACCAGUGCCCUGCAGAUGCCAAGCACAACCGUACUCGAUAUUCCAGUCUUGUGUGUGUCAUUUUGCAUUUUUUGAAAAUUUAUAUUUUCUAAAACCUUUCUGGUCUUCGUUUGUGGCUCUCACCUGCCUCUUACUUUGACCGUGUCUCUUGAACCUUUCGGGAAAUGGCUGGCCUCAUCAGGAGGGUUGACUAAACCUGUUAAGUGGCCUCUUGCCAUUUCUUCACAAACUUCCUUACCCUUUCUCUCUCUUCUAAUGGUUUUAGAAUCAACAGUCCUAGCUUGGCCCUAUGGACGUCCACAAAAGCAUAUCUUCAUCUUGGGACUUUCAUGUAUCUCUUUAAGAACUUUAGAAGAGAGAAUGGAAAUUCCUCUCUCCCUUUCUGUCUUGUCUUCCCUCUAACUUUCAAUAGUUUUGCAUUAUAUGGAAGUAUACUAUUGAAUUACAUAGUUUUGACUGUGAUGAAUGAAUGCAUGGAUGAAUAAGUAUUUUUUUUCAAUGGGUGAUACCAUUUUUAUUCCUCCAGGCAAAUUAAAAAGAGGAGAAAAACCCCUCAAUGUACAUGUGUAAAAAGACUUCGAGAUUAUUUCUCAAAAGUUGUUGAAACCUUUUUUAGGUUUGGAUUUGCUAAACAACAGGGUGCGAAUUCAAACACAGGCAGGAACAUUUCCCUGACUUCUUUAAAAAAAAUGCUUUGAGAUGUUAUGUGAUAUGCACCAGCACUUCAGAAAAAUCCUGCCAAGGAAGCCCUGAUUGACUGCAGUGGUGUUAGGCCGCUCUCUGCUUGUCGGGUUGCCUGAUUGAGAACUGGCCCUAGUAGACUGCUAUGCACCAAAAUAGUCUGUUCUAACGGAAGACCUCUGUUUGCCACUGGCACAUAAACAGGAGAGAGGGUGAGAUGCCAGCUUCGAUUGUCAAAUGUGGUGGGGCCUGUGGAAAGAAUUAACUUCCUUGGAGUUCACGUUUUGCAAGAUUGAGCCAUCCAGCACACGAGGGAAACAAGAAGAGCCACGUGGGAGUGCAAAGGCUCCAAUUGCCAGCCACGUCGCUUCUAAAUGUGAACGCUCUGGUUGAGUAGGACAAGGCGGCAAGUUGAGUGAGUCUGAACAUUUAGGAGAGACAGCCUGAUGUGGAGGGAGAAACGGGACACCAAGGCCAAGCCAAUUACCCACCCAGGCAGAGGGAAGGUGACUCGAGACCCCUGCCUGCCUUUUGGGGGGUGUUAUGGGGAUCAAAUGAGAUUAUGACUACAGAAUCAUUUUGGGAUCUUUCUUUGAAUUUUAAACUAAUGAAAUCAUAUUCUUCCCCUUAGGGAGGGGAUAAAAUCAAUAAAUGAAUAGUUUUCAUUUUCCUAGAAUGGUUCAAAAUUCGGCUUGAGAUUCUACCAUGUUCUUUCAGUUCUCACACCUUAACUGAUCUCUCACAUAACUGCCCAUCAAAUGUAUCAUGCUGAUCCAUCCAUCCUAUGCCUGGAUUAAGGUCCAUCAAACCCUUUAAUUUGAAUUCCCAUUAACUUUAAAAAGAUAAAUUCUAUAAAUGUUUGUAAUAUCUAAAAAUUUCAAGGUGCUUAGGUUACUAGAGAUCACUUUGGAAAAUCAUAUUUCCCUAUCUCCUCCCAAAAUACCCAAAAGAUUAUCUUUUCAGCUGCUGAUACAUCUGGCCAUGGCAGUGCAUUUUGAGGAUGCUAGAGCAUCUCACAGACAUCUCAAUGAUGUUAAGAUCAUAGGUACUGUUUUCAAAUAGGGUAGCUGGUUUUCUCUACUCCAUGAUUAGAGGCCAUACCUUUAAACCCCCAACCAGGCAGCUGCCUAAUUUGUAAGUGAAUGCCUCUGCAAAGAUCAGGCCAUGAGAAAGAACAUGAGAACACAGUCAUUCACUGAGCAGAUGUAUUGAGCCACUCUUAGGUGCCAGGCAGUCUGUUAGGUCCCUCCCCUCGCUUGGCUUAGAGACUAGAGGUAGAGACAGGCAUUCCAUAAGUAACUACUAGUGUGAUGAAUGUCAUAAGGAGAAAAUGCAUGGCUCAGUAUACGUCCAUCAACUGUGUUUGAAAAAGAAGCCAUCAAUAUCUGCAUUCUUUUCAUGUGUAUUUAUUAUUAGUUAUAAUAUGUUUACAUAUUAAUAAUCCAUGCAUAUGCAUUAUUAUAUUGGUUAUUCAUAAUACAUUAUUUUACUUCUGUCUUCUUAUAGCCCUGAGACUAUUACUGUAAAGAGCAAGAAUUUUGUGCUGCUCCGGGAAAGAGAGUAAUCAGAUACCAUUUAACUCAUUGGUAAUUGUUGCUUAUCAGUCCUCCUUUUAAAAAAAAAAAAGAAAAAAAAACGACCCUGCUGUAGCUGGGUGCUAUUUUAUUUUAGUCAUCUUCAUCCACGGUAGACUGUGUUGAAACAAUGCCAGACUGAACAUUGAUACCAGGUGCCUGUCCUAGCAGAAUCCAAUAUCACACCUGCAGAUAGAGUGUAAGAUUACGUCAUGUGUCGUGCCCGAGCACCACAAAUGACUCUAUACUUCAUCUCAAAUAACAUUAUAAUUUACACUUGGAGCCUUCAGACUAUGUAGCCUUGGCCAAAUGAAAGUUUUUGCAGCCAAACACAUCAAACUCAAUAUAUUUCACUGCGCCAGUGGGAUUGUUUUUUUGAGAAAGUUGAACAUAAUUAAAUCUAUCAAUGGCAUUUCAAAUAAAAAGUACCUGUCUUGGAUAGGUAGGCUUAUAAACAUUUGGCUGUCAGUUAGGAAGAUGUCACAGAGUUUUGUGCUGGAAACCAAAGAAAAAUGAAAGAACUCUAGUGUGUUAUGUGAAUUGAAUAAGAGUUCACCAAUGAAAGGAGGAACAAUGAGAUCUUUUGUUUUACAGAAAUGUCAUAGUUAUAAAGGUAUACAUUUAAACUUGGAGAAUCACUUCAGGCAAAAAUGAAAACCCUCCCAACUCAAACAUUUUCCCAGCUCCAGGACAUAAUCUACAGUAAUCUCUGAACUUUUGGAAAUAUUGUGUGGAUAUUUCAACACCUACUCACCUUGUCCAUUCUAAUUGUCACCUUUGCACUUUGGUGCCUGAUAGGCUUCUCUUAGAGAGCAGGCAUCGUCACCUGCUCACACUUUGAUCCACUGGCUGGAAAGCAGCUGCUCUUCUUUGUUCGGAAAACCAUUGCUAAUGUUUAUAUGAAUAGAGGAAGGGAAGAAUGUCCUCAUUCCUGUUCUUCCCCUACCACCUUCUUCAAAGGACCAGAGGAGCUUUCCACCUGGCUAUUGGGUGCCUCUGACUUUUGGGUUCAUUUUAUCGUUCUCAUAUCUAUGGAAUUGCCCCAGCAUCUUGAAUCUUUCAGACAGGCUUAUUUAUGUUUAAGACAGGCCAAUAAUCUCUGUGGUCUUGAGUCUGAUUGUAGGGGAGCCAGAGAUCUUUGUCACUCCAAUAAAAGUAACUCCCUCUUAACUCUGCCUUUGUUUUGUAGUAUUGCCAUGGUAGUUGAGGACUGUCUUAGAAUCCUGCAUUUCCUGUGCCUUGUCGCAUGGGUGCAGGAUGUAGAACACAGGAAGUGAGGAUGUUGAUUGUAGUCUAUAUAGGAUUGUGUAACAAGGGUUCCAGGACACUUUGAAGGGCCUGGAUUAUUUGGAGGAAGAUUGUCCUGGGAGGAGGUUGGAAAACAACUAUAGGAGAAAUGUGAAAGCACAGAAUAGAAACUUGAUUUUUAUCACUCUUCUGUGUGCUAUGACCACAAGCUACUGGGGAAACCGUUUUAUUGUACAGCAAUGAAUACAUCAGAUAAUAUGGAGACAUGUAUGUAGAGGAAGCAGCAUGCAUCUUCUCACCAGGUCUUUGUCAUCAAUUUUUAAUUGAACAAUGCUUUUCUAUGAAAUUAUUUUCAUUGAUCUCAUAUCAGGGAACAAAAUGUACUGGGCAGCUUCUCCAUGGUAACAAACAACCCCCAAGUCUCUGUGGUUUCCAAGAGUGUUCAUUGCUUGCCAUUUCAUGUUGGUGACUGCAGUUGAUGGUAGGAGCCACAGUUCCGCUUGGGUCUGUUGGCUCUGCACUAAGCAUCUUCUCAUCCUUGCCUAGGCUAAAGACACAAUAUUUACUGGGGAAAAGCCAUGCUGGUAGAAAAAGACAAAUGUAAGAAAUCUGGGAGAAACAUGCAGUACCUCGGCACACAAUCUCCCUUUACUCCCACUCCCUCAGUCUGAUAAAGCCACACGGCCAGGCUGUACAAUGGCAUGGGGAGUUGUAUUUUGCCGACAGGGAGGCACUGCCAGCUACACGCCAGCAGGCAGGAUGUGUGACAUCUUAUGGGAGGGAAAUGAAUAGAGGGAUCAAUAAUUCAGGUUGUCAUAGCAUGUCUGUUCUCAUGUGGUUUCUUGCCCAACUUUAAAGAAAUCCCAAGUAAAUUCAGCUUUAGAGAUGUUCAGAGUAUUAGUGCAUGGAAAGCCACACAGCCUCAUACAGUUCUUGAAUAUGUAUCCAUACCUCUUUCUAGUCUACACACUGAGUGCCAAUUAACAUUUCCCAGGGUGCUAUUUGUCAUUGGUACUUUUAUUUUUAUUUUUUCUUAUUUUUGAGACCAAGUCUCGCUCUGUCACCCAGGCUGGGGUGCAGUGGUGUGAUCUCGGCUCACUGCAAGCUCUGCCUCCCGGGUUCAUGCCAUUCUCCUGCCUCAGCCUCCCGAGUAGCUGGGACUACAGGCGCCCGCCACGACGCCUGGCUAAUUUUUUGUAUUUUUAGUAGAGAUGGGGUUUCACCGUGUUAGUCAGGAUGGUCUCGAUCUCCUGGCCUCGUGAUCCACCCACCUCAGCCUCCCAAAGUGCUGGAAUUACAGGCGUGAGCCACCACGCCCGGCUACUUUUAUUUUUUUUUAACUGUCAGGUGAAAUUCAACUAAGAGCUAAACUGAACUGAAGGAAAUGUGUUUUCCUACAUUUAUUUUCUUUUGAGUUUAAAUUUUACUUAACUAUUAAAUUUAUGAUGAUGUGUUCAUAUUUUCUUCAAAGUGGACUCUAUAUAAACAGUUAAGAAAUUAACUAUCAAAAUUAUUCACACAGUUAUUCGCAAGUAGUGACAGUAAUUUAUGUGUAGCUUUUAUCCCAAAGGAUGUUCUAAGGUUGCUUAGCUCCUCUGUUAAUCAGUUCCCUAACACCCUAAGCCAUUAGGUCAUUAAAGAGCUCUUGGCACUUUACCUAAAGGCUUCAGGGUGUUAAUCCUGGUUUCCUGAUCAGAAUCCAAGUAGGGUAAUGACUUUGUGACUUUUUAAAUUAUUCCUGCAAUUUUGGUCAAACAGGAUGUUCUUCUUGCUCUCUGUCCCAUGUGGUUUCACUAAGUGGCUCGCUUGUUAGAGAGAUGUGCCUCUUCCAUUGCAAAUGAAGUGAGGAUGAUUUAAAAGCAUUUAUAACAGCUUCUGAGCUGCAGUGAUGUGCUGAACUCUGUCAUGAACCUAGAUGUGGUUUCUCCCCUAAUGGAGACCCUAAAUGCCACCAAACACAGGUGUUCACCUUCUUUUCUAUGAUUCACUUGGAUGCAUUUUCCCUGGGUGAGCUCAGCUCACAGAAGAUGACCGGGAGAAGGCACUUUCCGAUCCUGCCUCUGAAUGACGAGCACAGAGGCUCUGAGCAGCCUACCUGGGGGGUCUCCUCUCCAGCUGAUCAGAGAGAUUUCCUACAAUCUCUCCUGGAAAGAUUGGUGAAACUAAAGCUUAUGGAGAAACAAUUUUGGAUGCUCACCAAAUAGUAAACAUUUUCUUGUUUUUUGAAUAUUUAAGGGCACAUUUUAUUAUUUAUAAGUUAAAGUAUAUCUCACUAAUAAUAGAGCCUAUUUAGAAAAAUGUGUAUUAUCUGCACACAUUUUUAACAGCACAAAUAACUUGAAUUCUAUUUUUCUCAUUAAUAGGCUAUUUUGACUUGUACAGAAAUUUAAAUAAAAAACAACUGAAUGGAUGCUUAGUGUGUAUGUAUUUGAUUUCAUAAGAAUCACGAGUUUCCAGCAUUUUCACCAAUAAAGUUCACUUUUGUUAGUUUUUGCUCUAUUUAUUCUAGAUCAGAAGGAUUUUUGCCUCCCAAAUGGAGUGUAUUAAGUAACAGUUAAUUUGCUUGUUUAGUUUUCCCUUUUUAACAUCAAAGGCAUAAACAGCUAGUAUCAGUUAUUGAGCAUUUCGGCUCACUAUUAGACUGCUGGCUCCUUGAGGGCAGAAAUAAUGUCUUAUUUUUCUCCUUAGUGCUGAGCACAGCAGCUAAUACAUUAUAUAGAUGCUCUCUGAGCAUCAUGGAGGGAGGCGGGGAAGGACAGAGGAAGGAAAAAAAGAAGGAAAGGAAGGGAAGGAAGGCAAAAAAGAAAAGGAAGAAAAGAAGGAAGGACAGAAAGAAAAGAAGGACAAAGAAGUAUAGCAAGGAAGGAGAGAAAGAGGAAACAGUGAAUUAUUGUCUUGAGUAGAUACAAUCCCAGCCCCAAACAGAGCAACUAGGUGUCUGACUUACCACUGGAGACUUCUGGGGGUGUGUGUGCGAGUGCGUUUCACCUGUUAUAGAUUGGCGGUGUCCUUAGCUGUGUUUAGUGAAACCUUUACUAGUUUUAUUCAUUUACUGCUGCAGUCGGAAUACUGCCUUUGCUCUGUGUCUGUGUGCUUCUCCCUUCCAGCCAGAUCAACUUGUUUGUGUCCAUGUGAACGUCAGGAAAUGGCUUUGAAAGGCUCUAGAGAGUAGCUGAAGUGCAUUGUGAUUAAAUGUUAAUAACCAUAAUGAACAAUACUGUUAACUAAUUAAUUACUAACUCUCAAAAAGGGCUACAAAUCAACCAUUAAACAAGUAAAGUCAUUAUUUUUGUCAGAAGCCCUCAACAUUCCACUGAGUUAGGGUCAGUGACUCCAUAUAGCAAAUUAAGUCAGUUUCAUAGGCAAUCAGUUUAUUCAUUAUCAUUUUAUUUAUGAUCAGUUUCUUUUGUAGUAGAGAGCAGCAUUAAAUAUGCUGUUGUCACUUGACUGAGAUUUUCUUUGUAAGCUAAGGAGAACACCUUAUUUAGUUUUUCAGACUAAAACUAUUGCAGCCACCUUCUGUGGAGGAGAGCCUGGGUAGGUGGGUGGGCAGGGGAGGUUGAGUGCUCCUUUUACCAGGCGCUGAAAUGUGCUCUAACUGCACAUGGAGAAGAAUUGUGGUCCCACUUCCUGAACUCUCUACUAGAGAUUCAGCUCCACAGCAGAAGAGGCUGGCAUACAGCUCAGAUGGGUGUCUUUGCCAGGCUCCUCAAUGGACAGAAAGGCGGCAGUCACAGCUGCCACCUUAAGAUGUUGCUUUCAGUUGAGAGCAGUUUCAUCCUGUUAUGACCAACAACAUGAGAUCCAUGUGAUCCAGAAGCGUAUCAGUGAACAAAACCCAAAUGUCCUGAUCAAGACAUACAUAUCUAGAGUUUGGUUGAGACAAAUGAUGAGCCUGGAGGAGGGCAUAGAAUAUCCUUUCAUUCUCCUGAGGAUAUUUACACUAGGCUAGAUCUUCUAAACCACUUUUUCCCAAAUUGCAUUAUGGGAUAUUUAUAAAAAGUGGAGCCCACUAUUUUCCAAAUAUUUGACCAAAGAACUCUUUUUUUGGCGGGGAGUGGUGGUGGUAGGAGAGCUGCAUUACUUUGUCUCCUGCCAAGUUGAUUGUAUGGAAUUCUGCUUUGGAGUGGAGCCCUUGGCACAUGCUCAGAGCAGCUUAGGAGAAAGACUGAUGAAACUUUUUGGUGUUUGUUGCACAAAUACUAAGAAUCUGGUUCAUUUCUCAAUUCAUGUCUUUUUUAUGGGGUUGAUAGGAGGAUUUCGCCCUUCCUCAGUGCUGGAAAUAGUUGUUUUAACUUAGAAACCGUUUUAAUGUUACGAUCUCUCACAACUGUGCAGCUGAUUGGCUCCCUAUGUGAGUGGGCCGAUGUGAGGCUAUAGACAGAAAGUCCUUUCCCCUUGAGUGAAGCCGAGGCGGUCAGUGAAAUUGCAAAGGUAUAAAAAAGUGCAAGAAUCUGGAAUGCUGUCUGGAUUGUCCAAGUGGAUUCGGAGAGGGAGGUCAUGACCCAAGUGGAAUAUCUUCAAUGGAACAACUGCGGGGAUGGAGAUGGGGCAGCAGGAAGAAGGCCGAGAAGGGGAAACAGCUGGACAAAGUGUCUCAAAGGAAGGGUUUUUAUGUGAGGCUAAAAAAGGUUGAGGAAUAAUUUUCUGAAACUGGUUACAAAGACUAGAGGCAUCUUUCACUUCCUGUGAAUCCUGUGAACUUGGAGCAGGGUGGGACCCCCUGCUGCCGCUAAUGGAAGAAGGUAGCAGGAUCCACCUCUCCUCUUCCGCUGACAGCCUCCCUCCCUGCUCAGUGCCUCGAGCUGGUGAACUCCCCUCCGUCCUGUGCACCUCCCGCUUUUGCUCCUCACACAUCCCACCGGUCCUGUAUAUGUGGGGUCUCCAGCCUCCUCCUUCUGUGUGAUUAGCACCUCCACCUUGGUUCAAGGCUUUAUCCAUCAUCUCUUCACUGGAUUAUUGCAACAACUGCAAGAACCUCCAACCUAAUCUCACUGUAGCUUCUCCCCGAAUCCACCAGCCUCACACUGUUGCCAUAGUGAUCCUUCUGAAACGUGGACUUUGCUUUGCUGAUGCCCCACGCUGAGCCUGUACUGCCCAGAAGAAAAUGUUUCAGCUCCUGAGUGGGCAUAGAAGGCCUCCUUGGGCCCAUACCUAGUGGCUGGGAUCUCACUCCCUUCUCUUGCCACUCCUCCCCCAGCCUCUACCUCAGGCACACCUCAUCUCACUGUUCCUCCACUCUUGGCCUCCUGACCCAGGCCCACCCUUUCUUCCACUAAUAGGAAAGCUCCUCUCUCCUUCUUCAUGAAGCCUGCUCUUUCUUCCCUCUCACCUCACUCCAUUCAUGCUGUGAGUUUAGCCCUUGCUGUCUUCUUCCUGGGGCUGUCCCUUUCACUAAAGCAAACUCCCCAAGGGCAGGGAAUGAAUAUGAUCCAUGUUCUUACUUCCUAGCCUAAUCUGAUAUAUAGCACUUCUGGUGAUAAACAUAUAAACACUUGAAAGGAGGCAUGUCCCUAGUUAAUCAAGUUACUUUACAUUUAAAGAAGAAAUCAGUGAUUGAGGUAGGACCUUAAAGGCUCACUCUUAAACUCACCCUAAGAACUCAGCCACUUCUGAAUGGGACACCCAUUGUAUACCUGGUUCCACAGUAGACAGCACAGAGGCCCUGGAAAGGAGAAUGGAAGAUAUUUUAUGCAUCAGUUUCUAUGUGGUGGUGUAGCAAAAACAGUUAAUUGACUUCCAGUAUCUGGCCUCCUUUUCAGCUCUAGUACUAGAAGUUCUAGACCCCAGUUAAAAAGGAUGUUUUCUAGCCUUUUUUAUACUGAGCUGUGGCCACUGUUCUGGCCCAUGGAGUGUGAGUAGAUGUGACAUGGGCAAAUUCCCAAUAAAAGGAGCAUGGUUUCUCCUCCUCAUCUUCCUCUUUCUGUGGGCUUCAGUGGGGUAGGUAGAGCCCAUGUUUGGCCAGAAUAGAAGCCUGGGAAUAUGCAGAGAGAUACGACUGAAGUAGACUGAGUGUUCCUGUGUGGCCUACUGCAAUAAUCCAUUGACAGAUGGUGGGUAAAGACUUGGACUCAGGCAAGAGUGAUGAUAUUAAGGACCUAGACUCUUCCUACUGUUUCCUGACAACCAGGGCACUCUCUCCCUUGCAGUGCUGACAUCUGGGUUUUUACUGUCUUGUUUAAACCACUCUGUAAUGUUUUGGGGUAUCUUUGUUACAGCAGCUCACCAUAUAUUCUUAAUCAGUACCAAUGGGCUCAGGUAUUAUUAAGGUUAGUCAGUAGGCAUUUUUAACAAAUACAGGUUGCUGUAUAAAAAGAUGCCAACUUACUUUAUUGGCAUAAGAAAAGACUCACUGUGUAGUCUAAAACUCAUAAUUUCAAUCAUUUUCUCCUGUGACCUACCUUCCCCACAGGGGGCCACUAACAUUAGCCAUUAUUCUGGCCUCCCCUUUACUAUGUUAAUCUAGGCAUAGACAAUUUUCUAAUAUGCAGCUCAAACCAGGUUUUAACAGUUAACAAGGUUUUGCUAAAUAUUCAGGAUAAUAGAAAGAGUAAUUUGUAUAAUGAGUAAUAUACAACUUGCCAUUAGGUAUGAUUCUUCUCAAACCCUCAAGCAAAAACCCACCUCAUAGGGUUCCCUGCAAGGAAUCUUAUGAUGAGCUCUGAGCUCCUUAUGGCAGAGGCCAUCUCAUCUCUCCUACCCCCUACCCAGAAGUACUCCAGAACACAUCUAGAUUGGGAGAAGUUGAGGCCCAAGAGGGAGUUUGAGAUCAAUUUCCAGCCUAAAACCACCCUGGAAGAGUCAGCUUCUGCUUUCAGCUUCUUCUCUUCCCAGGAGAUGACUGGCCUUCGCUGUCACGGAGGAACAGCCCUAUGUUUACAGGCCCAGAAGAUAGAGCAACACCAUAUGGGGUCAUCAGAGCAGGGUCUUCCCACUGCUAGUGGAUUUAAUUCUCCCACUUUCACAGAUGAGUAAAUGAGGAUCAGAAAGUUAAAACAACUUAUCCUAUGUUACAUGGCUUCUAAGCUUCAGGGUCAGGAUUUGAACCCAGUGUGUAUGGGAGGGCUUUUCAAAUGCCCACCCAGUGGCUUGCACCAAGCUGGCUGCCCAGACCCUUGAGGGAGCUUGUUAAAAUAGUGAUCGGUUCCUGAUCCUACCUUUGAAAAUAUCUUUUAAGUGGUUUUGGGAUGAGUUUUUAAGGCUUUUUAUUAAUAAACUACUCUGGCAAUUCCAAUACACUGCAAUAUUUAGAGACAGUUCCUUUUUACCAAACAGGGCAUGUUAGCCUCAGACAUUUUUUCAGUCUUUUUCCUUUUGCCAACUCAUCCUGUUUCCCCCAUGUAAAACAAAUGAUUCAAGAUGAGAGCAAUAUGUCUCAAAAUGGAACAAUUCAAUAUUAGUUGAGACAAUGCUUUGGCGGUUAUUUGUAUGAAUAUAUUACUAUUACAGCUAUAAUCUCCCCCAAAGUUUGAUGGGUGUAUUUCCACCCAUCCGUUACUACUUAUUGAAUGAAGCUUUGCAGCCAAGCCUGAUGGGGAAUGUCAUAGAUGAAUAAGCCUCUCUUCAGAUUGCCCGAGCUGUCUACAAGGGAGACCAAAGUACACCCAUGAAACAAUUCAAAAGUAAUAAAAAACGUGGGUGGGGUGCCAUGGUUUAUGCCUACAAUCCCAGCACUCUGGGAGGCUGAGGUAGGAAGAUUGCUUGAGCCCAGGAGUUUGAGACCAGCCUGAGCAAUCUGGCAAAACCCCAUCUCUACAAGAACCAGCUAGGCAUGGUGGACCACACCUGUAGUCCCAGCUAUUUGAGAGGCUGAGGUGGGAAGAUUGCUUGAGCCCGGGAGGCAGGAGUUGCAGUGAGCCAUGACCUCACCACUGCACUCCAGCCUCGGGGACAGUGAGACCCUGUCUCAAAAAACAAAACAAAAACAAAUAUCCAAGUAGAAAAUACAUAUUGAGUUGUGGCAACAGGUACUAGGUGGAGUAGAAACAGAAGUGAAGAAUUACACCAAGUGAGCAGGAGAAGAACAGGUGGCUUCAUAAAAAAGAAAAUGCUUAAAUUAAAUCUGGAAGCAUGAUUUAGGUUAGGAAAGUCAGACGCAGGAUGGAAAUUCAUGUAGUAGGCAUGGGCUAAGCAAAGGUACACUCUGUCAUAAGCAACCCAAGGUACUAAGGAUACUGUUCUCUACAAUAGGUGUAAUUUUUCUGAGCUGUUAAAAAUAUAACUGGGAAGAUAAACAGAAACUCCAAGAAUAUCUUAUCUGCGUUGAUCCACCAGUGUGUGUCUGUGACGGAGGCCUGAAUUGUAUGCUGCCAUGUGGGUGGCCAGAGAGAAGGUGAGCCUACGGUGGAGAGCAGUCCUGUGGUAGGAUGACAGGGAGGAUGGAAGCAGCACUGGAGACCUGGGAGAACUGGGAUGCCUGUUUGGAGAGAGGGUGUGGCGUUGGGCAGGUAGGUAGAGGGAAGGUCUCUGUUCAGCAGCAUAGCACAGCACAGGGGACACGACCCAGAACUAGGGCCAUGUGCUAUGAACUGAUGGGCAGCUCUAAUUACUUUUCUAAAUUUUGGGCCCAGUGACAUUUUCUUUCCUGCCCCAUGGGUCAGGUUGGUUUUAGAAGUGAGACAUUUAUUUUAUUCUCCUUCAAAAACAAACUUUACAUCAUUGAUCUGCCACUAAAAAAUGUUUGUGUAAAAUUCCUGCCUCGAAGCCAGUGCCUGUGACUCAGAUGGCGUGCAUUUCAAAAGUCUCUCAACAUAAUUUCACAUAAAAAAGAAACAUCUUACGUUGGGCCAACUCUGCUGAAACCAACUGCCUUGUAUCACUAAUAUGUAGCUGGAUUGAUUCAUGAUGUACAUCUUCAAAGACCUGGAUAAUCAUCUUUGUUUGCAAAUUCCUUAUUAACAUGGAGAUAAAUGCUAUCAUAAAUUUGAACUUUUAUAUUAUGAGCUGAAUUUUUUGGUCUUUAAAAUUUAUUUCCAGAAUAUUCGAUAGCAUGACUCUAAGGCUGGAUGGCUCUUUCCCAACUGGACACGGUUUGAGAUUUUUUUGUCUCCUUUUUCUUCAUGCGAGAUGAUAAACACUUAAUAAGAAGAUGGAACUUAUGGAAAGUAGCCAGAAGAAAAUAGCAUUCUACCGAUGGAAUUCCACUUCAGAUGCUGUGCUGGAAAGAAAUCCUCAUCCUGGGCUCCUUUUGCCUUUUGAUGAUGGCUUUAAAAACUGUGAAAACAGCGAAAGCCAAGUGUGUGGUCUUCAGCAAUUUCGUAAUAGUCUGUGCAGGAGACAGAGGGGGCGGUGGUUUGCUGGAAAAAAUGAUUAACUUUUUCUUUACGAUGACAGAAAACAGUUGCAAUUCAAAAAUGCCGAGGUUUCUGCAGCCCUCCCUUUUGGCAAAUUGUUAGGUAAUCACUUCUUCCAGGUGGCACUUUCAAUAAAGACCUUGGAAAGUCACGCCCCUUCCAGAGAUGUCCUCAGGGCAGAGCCAUUGUCAACUGGGAGAAACUUGUAGAAUGAGUGAGGGCAGGGUUAGAGGAAAGGCUCUAAAUUUUUCUUGUUGGGGGUAGCGGGGUAGAUUUGCUGUUGAUUUCCCAGAGUGGGUUCCCAUGCCUCAGUCUUGGUCUAAUGCGCGUUACAGUCUGCCUCUCAGCUUCUCCAGCAGAACCAAGGGAACCCUCCUCACAUCCUAUGAUUAUAUUUGUUAUUAUUUACUUUAAGUUAUCCCAGGAAGCAGCAGGCCCACCCUAAUUGAGAGGUCUGUCCACAUACAAGUCAGCUUAGUAAAACAGGUUCUAAUUAAGUAAUUACCUUGAUUAAAAUAUACCAACCAUUUUUACUUUUUAAUAAACAUUUCCCAAGACUGGAUUUUAUCCUGUUAUUUUGGUAGAAAUUUGUUUAACCUGGUGUGGAACUGGAACCCAGAGCUAACACUGUCCACCUGUGGAUAUGUGUGGUUUCCCUUAUUUGUAACAUGGAGUAGAAACAUAGCAGAUGCUCUGCAAGGUGCAGGAAAAGCCAGGUGCAUCUAUCAGGUCAAUUCAAAGUUCCUUUUUGAGUACAGUGCUGGACUUAGGUCAUGUAGAGGCAUAAAAGCCAAUUUAACUGUGCACAGUCCAGUAAGGGACAGACAUUUGCAAAAGUAUAUCAAUACAUGAUGCAAAUGUUAAGCUAGAGUUACGCACAGGUGCUCUAGAUAAUUGUGACAUUUGAAGGCAUGUAUUUUGACUACAUUGGUCAUUCCUGUGGUAAACUGACAAGGAUUGAGCCCUGCUGAGGUACAUGGUCCUUGCAGACACUUGAGUCCUGGAUAGUAUGCAAGUAGAUAAAAGAGAAUCCCUGUGACUCUACCCCAGUGACUCUACCCCAAGUCGUCAAGAUGUGGGCAUCACCUGACUCCAUCUGGUCAGCCUCCUAGCAGAGGAGGCCCUUUUCUGUUGCUGAAUUUACAACUGCUUCAUGCCCAUUGGCUCCUUGGAAAUUCAAUCCCAAUUCAUCUAAAACUCCUCAGGGUCAAAAUAGUUCCUGAAAAUGAAUUUUGCUGAAGCUUGCUUUUGGGUGCCUGUGACUUCAAAUCCUUAUCCUCUGCAUCUUCAAGAUUCUGGUCUGGUUACUUAGGCAAAUUUCUCAGUAGCUCUGGAAAAUUCGCAACGAUUUAAACCAUUUUUUUUCUUUAGCCUCUCUGGGACCUAUGACUCUUUGCAUGUUGAGGUUUUGAAUUCCUUUGCAUGACAAAUUCUCUGGUGGUUACAACAGAGAAGAAGGAAGAGAGGUGAUCAGGGUCUCAUGAGGAAAACCAUACCUAGAUAGUUUGCUCAAAGAGAGUGCUGUUAAUUCAAAGAGGCUGGUCUUCCUGAGAGAUUCCUUAACCCAAGGCAAUUCAAAAGUUGGUGUUUGAGUGUGCGAGAGAGGCCCCAUGUUAUGAAGGCAUGUCAGAAAAAUGAUUAUGGCUGGGUAUUAACUUGAGAUCUAGGCUGUGAAAGAACAGUAGGUUUUUUUUUUUUUUUUCUUUGAGAUGGAGUCUUGCUCUGUUGCCUUGGUGUGAUCUGGGCUCACUGCCACCUUCACCUCCCAGGUUCAAGCAGUUCUCCUUGCCUCAGCCUCCUGAGUAGCUGGGAUUACAGGCCCGCCCACCACAAUGCCUGGCUAAUUUUUGUAUUUUUUAGUAGAGACAGGGUUUUGCCAUGUUGGCCAGGCUGACCUUGAACUCCUGACCUCAGGUGAUCUGUCCAUCUUGGCCUCCCAAAAUGUUCAGAUUACAGGCCUGGCCAAGCACAGUAGAUUUGUGACUUGCCUUUCAUACAUGGGAGGGUGACUAAGGGAAGGAGGCAUGGGGGUGGAGAGAGGAUGGUGCUGGAGGGAAGGUGGGCAGGUGGAUAGAGUCAUUUAAGACAUGCAAGGAGCCCCUUGGCACUUAAGAGAAAAGGUGCCACACAUCCCGAAAGCCUGGAGCAGGGGCACACUGUCUUUGGAAUGUAUUUUCGUUGACUAGAUUAAUCUGCUUUCAAUUAGAGUAUUUAUAGACUACUUCCCCCACAAAGGCCUCCAUGAUUGAUCCCAGCAACAGUAUACUUUUGGCCUUUGAAACUUUUUUGAAGUUUUCUUGCUAUACCUACCAUACUGUAGCUAGUUUUAUAGUAAUGCACAUAGUCUUUGAGCUACAGCCUCAGCUCGUUGGUGGGGCCCAUGUCAGUUUUCUCCUAGGGUCUCCCAUAAUUCCUCAAUAUAGUCCUUGUAAGAAGUGCCCCAUACAUGUUUUUUGACUUGAGCCCUUGCCCAUUCCUGGGAGUCCAGGAUCCAGGCCAGACAGUGGGGUUAAAGGACUGAAACAAAUCACGCUACCUCCCCCUGCACAAUAUUUUCAUGGGAUAAAAAUGCCCUUAAGAUGAACAUCAAAGGCAACUCUAAAAGUGAAAAGUAAUAACAAGGCUAUUUGUUAUUACUAAAUUGCUUGUUUGGAAUAAAGAAGGGGUACCCAUUCUGCAUGUGCUAGUGAGAGUGCUGGUUUAUAGGUCAACUCUUAGGCACAGACUUUUCAGCACUUAAAAAAUCGCCAGCUGAGCAUCCCCUUCCACCUCUUCUACCCUUUGAAUGUCAUUGACCCACCAACACCACCACAGGGCUCUGAAGACUGCUCUUGUGAUACCACAGAUAAUCAAACACACAACACGAGCAGUGGGGACACUCCUGACCGAGAGACAGAGUGCAGAGGACAGACACCCGGACCUGUGCCCAGUAUCAAAAGCACUAACAGAGCGGCGCUUCCCGUGUUCACUGGACAUGCAGUGUUCAUAUUAGGACUAGUUCUAGUUGGACAUCUUGCUGUUUCCACAUUUGUUUUAGUGGCUCUUCAUCGUGUUUACAUUUGUCUUAUUUUUGGGCUAUUUCUAUAACCAAGUGACUAUUUGAUUAAGAUUUAUCCAUUCCAUAAAUAUGCCCAUUUCAUUCAACAUGCUACCAACAAGUUUUUGGCAAGUCCUACUAUGUGGCCAGUGGUCACACAGAUUAAAGUCAAAUUCAUGCAGAAUCCUGGCUUGCAGACAAAGUUUUUAUCUUUUCUCUGCAAUGACUCAUCCUCACUUUCCAGAGGUACCUGGUGCAGCCAUGGGUCUGCUCUCCCCAUCUCCCAUCAAUAUUUGCUCCUAGGGCAAUCUCAGUCAUACUUUUGAAAUUAUAUGUUGCUCAAACUGUUUGUUUAAAAACAUUUAAAACAUUCAGUUAAGAGGCAAGUCUAAAACAGUGUCUCUGAGCAUUCAUUACAUUAGAAUAAUGGAGGUGAUUUGAAACAGUAGAGGUGGGGGUAAGGAAUAUGUCUGGCCCCUCCAGUCUGUGGAUUUCUGUCUUUGCAGAUGUGUAAGUGCAGAUCUGCCCAGGACUGUCCAAUGUUGGGGCUUCUUUCAAGAGCAAGGUUCUAGCGUCAUCAGGAGAUGGAAGAAAGUUAUAUUGAUAUACACUGUUACACAAAAGGUAGUAUUUUGGAUGCCAAGUAUAAGAUAUUGCAGCAAAUUCUGUGUCCUCUGUCUUCGGAGCCACCUACUAUUUAACCGCUCGUGAUCAAAGGCUUUUUUCCCUUUUUAUUCUUGUGGUACUUUCUGGUGUCCAUUCACCCUAGCCAGGAUGAGCAGGUCUACCCAAUAGCAUUUUUUAUUAUAGACAGUUCUUCGUACAUUAUUGCACUUAACAGAUUUACAGAGAGCACCUUUUUUGUUUUCAAGACUGAGAUUAUUGUUCAAUCUUUUAUACUUGUGUUGACUUACACUCUGUUGUAAAAUUUGAAGGAGGGUAAAUGCAUAAUCAGUUUUAAUGACCUACGUUAUGCAAGUUACAAUCUGAUUGGCAGUGAAGAUAAGUUUAAAUGCAAACAAAUGGCAGAUGUUAAUCUCUGCCUCCUUAGCUUUCAGGUGGUAGGUGUAGGACACUUCUGGCUUGCAGUUCCCAGGUGAUGCUUGCUUGACUUUGUUGUCAGCACCUGCAUUAGUCCGUGCUUCAUUGGUAUAAAGAAAUACCUGAGACUGGGUAAUUUAUAAAGGAAAGAGGUUAAUUGGCUCACAGUUCUGCAGGCUGUACAGGAGGCGUAAUGCUGGAAUCUACUUGGCUUCUGGAGAGGCCACAGGAAACUUACAAUGGUGGCAGAAAGUGAAGGGGAAGCAGGUACAUCUUACAAGAUGGGAGCAGCUGCAAGGGGUGGUAGGAGGUGCUACGCACUUUUAAACAAGCAGAUCUCACAAGAACUCACUAUCACGAGAACAGCACCAAGAGGAUGGUGUGAAACUAUUUAUGAAGGAUCCACCCCCAUGAUCCAAUCACCUCCCAGCAGGCCCCACCUCCAACAAUGGAGAUUACAAUUGAACAUGAGAUGUGGUUGGGGACACAGAUCCAAACCAUAUCAGCGCCCCUCAGUGUGUGUGGUGGAAUCUGGCUCUAGAGUGGCCCAUUUCGGCAAAUGAACUGGAGAUAUUACAGAUGGAACUUACUCUGAUUUCCUGCACUAAACCCAGCUCUUCAUAUUUUCUUCAUGGGUCACUUGGACAUUUUUUUCCCAACAUACAUUUAAUUGUAGUGUGAUUCCUUCUGGGCAGCAGAAACUUCAGAUAUCCAUAGAUAAUUUAUUCCGUCAAAUCCAUAGCUAUGGGUUCUUGAGGCUUCUCCCUACAUCAAAUUAUGAGGCAGUAUGAGCCAUCCACACAGAGCACUCAGAGCCCACUCCUGGGCAAGUCUGUGGAGUGUAUUGCUUGGUGGAGAGUGCUUCGGACAGGAAAAGGGGAGCUUCCUCCAUGCCUUCUCUUCUGAUUGGUGGCCCAACCCCAGUGUCCUUUCCCAUCCUGCCAUGUUUUUUUAUGGCAUGCCCCACCUGGUCUCAGUUGUCAUCUCUGGCUUCAGGCUUCAUGAAGGCCCUUUAUGCUCAAGAUUAAUGUGAACUGCUUCUCUGGACACUAUAACAGGGAACUAACCUACAGAAACUAGGAGGGGAACAACCUGAGUUUAGCUGCUAGACACAUUUAGGACACAUUUUAAAAUUACAUGCACAAAAUUAUGUAUUCCAGUUUCCUGAAAACUUAGCAAAAGCAAUGCCUUUGGGCUAUGAGUUUAAAACAUGACAACCAUUUUAAUUUUCCUUUUGCAUAGAAUGAGGAAAUGUGGGACCAUCACUCGUGAUUUGGGAGGUGGGACCGUGUAAAGACCGCAAACAGCGGAGUUUCUACAUUGGUGGCUCAUAUGCAGUUUGUGUCUACUUGCUUUUCAUCAUCAUUCUCAUAUAGGAGACCAGCUCUCUAUCCUCGGCCAAACUGUGCUUUCGGUAUAGGAAAAGUAAAUGUUCUUUAUUUGCAUAGUUAAGUGUGUAAUGCAAAUAACAUCGUUUCAUCUUUGACUAAACAACUCUGCUUCUGAAUUUGGGCACAUCACCUAACACGUUCAUGCUUUGUGAAAGAAACUCUAAAGCAGCAGUUUUCAAACAUGCUUGAUUUUGAUUAAAAGUUAGAAUUACAUUUAACAUCGUAAUCCAAUACCCAUGCCAAUGUGACACAUGCACUACUAUUAUUCUAUUUUCUGUUUCAUUCUAUUCUACUCUACUUCAUUGAAGAAAUGUUAUCUAUGAGGCACUAACUUGAUUUCAUAACCUGUUAAUAGGCUACGGUGUACAAUUCCAAUCCCCUGGAAACUGUUCUCUCUGUGACUAUAUACUGCUUAUCGAUGGUGUAGGGGAAACUCUGGGUUGAAGCAGUCACCUCUAGAACCUCUGGGGGGCCGUGACCGGCAGAGAUGCAUGCACACCGGCUGUUUUGACUACUUCUCUGUGGGUUCCCAGUUGUGCACUGUGACAGGAAGGAAAAGCCAGGAAGGAUUUUGCUGCCCCUUUACAGUUGCGAAAGUGUCUCUGUGCAACCUUUGAAAAUGGACAAGGGAUAGCUGCCCUCUGGUUAAGGCAACACACACCAUGUGCACCUGAGAUACACUUGCCUUGAUUUUGCUGCAUCCCUGAAUGGGAAACAUAAUCUGCCUACCUUCGACAGUCAUGACCACUUACCUAGUCUCUUCCAUGGUAGCAGACCCGUUCCUGCCCCAGACACUGUUUUCACACUAAUGUGGAGCCUCAGACACACUGUGCUCCACACUGUGCUGCCACCUUCCUCUGAAAAUCCAAAUUUUGGUUCAUUUGCCUGCAGUUUCCUUUGCUCUCUACCCCUUACCCCGUGCCUUAGCUAGCUGGAUUGACCACUGAAACAGUGGCCCUCUGGUUCUUGCUCUGGUUACCAGCACCUGACCGCAGGGAGUGUCAUGCUUCUUCAUGUGCAUGCUUGUCCUGAAGGAUGAGCGGGCAUUGCUUUCUGCUAUGAUCUGGGAGGCACUGAGUGUGAAUACGGGCCACGGAGGAAACCAGAUAGACCAACCCUGUGGACAGCAAGCCUGGGACCAUCCACAGGAGCUUUUGCAUUGAAGAUGGCAGGAACAUUAUUCAUGGCAGCAUGUCUGUGGAGAGUGCAGGGACAUGCUGCACUUUGAGCUGCACUUGGAGCUGGGAGCACCUCCAGCUCCAAGAGUUACCCUCUAGAUUACAAGGGAAAUCCAGACAUGUUUCAGAGGCCAAUCCAGCUGCCUAAGGCACAGGAUAAGGGGUAGAGAGCAAAGGAAACUGCUGGAAAUUGAACCACACUUUGGGUUUUCAGAUGAAGGUAGCCGCACAGGGUGGAGAGCAGGGCCUGUCUGAGGCUCCACAUUAGUGUGAGGAUAGUAUCGGGGGCAGCCCUUGUCUGCCAACAUCAUUGAACUUUUGUCAUUGUGCCAACAUUGAUUUCUUACACCUUUUUGUCCCAUAUUGGGAUGAAAUAUUUUCACCUGAUAGUAGCACAUGACAUUGUACAGGGAGCACUUCCAGCUCCAAGAGUUCCUCUCUAGAUUACAAGGAAGUUGAUGGAAAUAACUAGAUUUGUUAGAGCAUGGUCUCCUGCCCAUGGAAGGGAGGAGAGUAGAGUGGGGAAGCAUGCUGGCCUGCCCUCUGUCACACAUUGCAAUCCACCAGUUCCUUGGGGGUGAAAAUACAGGCCAGUCCUCUUCUCUGCACUCCCGACAGACAUGCUACCAUACAUAAUGUUCCUGCCAUCUUCAAUGCAAAAGCUUUUGUGGAUGGUCCCAGGCUUGCUGUCCAUAGGGUUGGUCUCCGUGGUUUCCUCUGUGGCCUGUAUUCACAUUCAGUGCCUCCCAGAUUAUAGCAGCCACUGGCUCUGAGUGCCAGUAUUGCACAGAAUGCAUGAGGAGGUCAUCAGAAGCCUAUUUGAAUUUGAAACCAACAAGACAAAUCCCGUUUGCUUGAAACACUCAAUGAUCUCCCCAAUAAGGCCUCACUGGACCCUGCUGAGCUUGAAGGCAAUGAAGGUGUGCUGACUGUUGGCCAUGGUCCCACUAGCUGCUUUGGCAUUACCUUUGACUGCCACUACCAGCACUGAAAAUGCCCCUGGCCCUACAUGCUUUCAGGCAGUGGCCAUCUAGCAUCCAUGGUGAUCCCCACUCACAGCUCCCAAAGAAUGAGCAGGCAUUGCCACCAACAUUGGGAAAUCAUACAGUCAAUACUCAUUUGUCCUAUAUUUCUGCCAAGAAGAUAACCAUGAGCAAUCAGUAAUACUGUAUAGGCCUAUCUUAGGAUUUCUGUAAGAGCUGUUUCUAGCUUCAUUUAAAAAAGUGUUUUCUCAUAGCCAAGUAUGUUUUUAUAUGUUUCUAAUGAAGUGUGAGGUGCUCUGAUAGCUGUCAACAAUGGCAAGGCAGUGUACUUGUUCUUAGGGAACAUUGUUUAAAUUGCUGUACAGAGGAAUAUGCAUAGCUUUGAAUGUAAUUAGGAGGCAAUGAACAAUAAAGGGGAAAAUAUUGGGUUAACACACUUAAUUUAGAACAAAGACCAUCAUCAUUAUUGUCAUCAUCACAAAUAUCAUCUGCUAUGCUUUGAAUAUCCCCUCCAAAACUCAAUGUUGAAAUUUAGUUGCCCAUGUUAUGGUAUUGGGAGGUGAGGCUUUCAAGAGGUGAUUAGAGCCCUCAUGAGUGGGUUAAUAAUGUUAUUGUGCAAGUGGGUUAUUGGAAAAGUGGGUCCCUGCAAAAAGGAUGAGUUUGGCCCAGUUUUCUCUCUCAGCCUCAUGCUUGUGCUUCCCCCUUUUGCUUUCCACCGUAGGAUGACUCUUGCCAGAUGCUGGCACCAUGCUCUUGGACUUUCCAGCCUCCAGAACCAUGGUCCAAAUAAAGUUCUAUUUUCUAUAAAAUUAUCCAGUCUGUUAUAUUCUCUUAUAGCAGCAGAACAUGGACUAAGACAAAACAUUGGUGCUGAGAGGUGGGCUUAUUGCUGUAGCAAAUACCUAAAAAUGUGAAAGUGGCCUUGGCAAUGGUUAAUGAAUAGAGGCUAGAAGAAUUUGGAGGUGCAGGCUAGACAAGCCUAAAUUGCUGUAAAUGGAGCAUUAAGGGUAAUUCUGGUGAGGGCUCAGGAGAAGAGGAGACCUGUAGGGAAAGUAUAAAUCUUAGAGAUUACUUAAGUGGUUGUGACUAGAAUGUUGGUAGAAAUAUAAACAGUAAAGGCCAUUCUGAUGAGGUCUCAUGGAAAUGAGGAACAAAGUAUUAGAAACUGGAAUAAAGGCCAUCCUUGUUAUAAGGUGACAAAUAACUUGGAUGAAUUCUGUCCAUGCCUGUGGGUUUUAUGGAAGGCAGAAUGUAGGAGCAAUAAAGUAGGCUAUCUGGUGGAAGACAUUUCUAAGCAAAAUAUUAAAGAAGCUGAGUGGCUAUAUUCAACCCAUACAGUAAGAUGCAAAAGGCAAGAAAUGACUUAAAGAAGCAAUUUAUAACUUAAAAAGAAGCAGAACAGGAAUAUUUUGAAAAUGUUCAUCCUGUCAUGUAAAGAAUGAAAAAGCAUGUUCAGAAGAGCAAACCAAGGAUAUGGCCAAGUGACCCUUUGCUAAGGAGAUUAGUAUAGAUAGAAAGGAUCUCAAGACAAUGGGAGAGUGUUCCCAGACACAUUUCAGAGCGCUUUGGGACUGCACCCCCAUCACGGGCCCAGAGCUCUAUAGGGGCAGAAUGGUUUUGGGGAACAAGCUGGUUUUGGCAUGAGCUUGUUUCCCAGAGCCCCCUAGGGUCUCUGCUCCCUGCAUUCUGUCACAGUUCUCCUUGAUCAUCCCAGUUAUGGCUCAAGUGGGUCCAGGUGCUGCUUGACCCACCAACCUGUAAGGUGUAAGCCAUAAACCUUGGCAGUAUCUAUGUUGCUGACUCUGGAGAUGGGCAGAACGCAAGGACUAUGGGACCAAGGCAGCCUCCAGCUAAAUUUCAGAAGAUGUGGUCAACAGCUUGGAGACCCAGUCAGAGACACCACAGGGUUGGAGCCACAGCAGCGAGCUCCUGCCCCUACUUUGGCAAUCCUGAGUAGUAGUUGGGGUUGGAACUACCACAGAGUUACUAUUAGGGCUACCACAGAGUUACUAGUGGGGCUGUGGAAGUGGGGCUGCCCUCGAACCCCCAGAACUACAGAGCUACUAGCAUGCAGCUUCAGCCUGGAAGAGCUGCCUGGCGUAAAACUAACCGUGAGAGCUACUGGGUGGACUGAGUCCAGCAAAGCCUUAGGAGAGGGACUGCCUAAGGUCUUGGGCCCAACUCCCACCCCAGCGUGCCAAGGAUGUGGGAAAUAAGGUCAAAAGAGCUUAUUUUGGAGCUUUAAGUCUUGGGGUUGUUUUCCUUGUUGGGUUUUACACUUAAUUGGAACGAGUUACCCCUUUCUUUCUGCCCUUUUCUCCCAUUUGGAAUGAGAAUGUCUAUUCUAUACCCAUCUCACCUUUAUAUUUUGGAAAUAGAUAACUCGUUUUGAUUUUAUAGGCUCAUACCUAGAGAGGAGUUUGCCUCGGGAUGAACCAUGCCUUGAGUCUCACCCAUUCCUGAUUUAGAUGAGGCUCUAGACUUUAGACUUUUAAAAUAAUACUGGAAAAAGAUAAGAACUUUGAGGUUAUUGGGAUGGAAUGAAGGUAUUUUGUAUAUGAGAAGAACAUAAGUUUUGGGGGAGCUGGGGAGGCAUGCUCUGGUUUGAAUGUCUUCUUGAAAACUGAUGUUAAAACAUAAUUGUCAAUGCAACAGUGUUGGGAGGUGGGGCCUUUAAGAGCUGAUUAGGUCAUGAGGGCUCUGUUCUCAUGAAUGGAUUAAUGCCAAUUUUUUGAGAGUGGGCAUCUAAUAAAAGGAUGAGUUUGGCUGUCUUUUUCUCUCUGUCUUGAGGAUAUUUCCCUCUUCUGUCUUCCACUGUGGAGUGACCCUCGCCAGAUGUCAGCAACAUGCUGUAGAAUUUUCAGCUUCCAGAAAUGUGAGCCAAGCAAACUUAUAAAUUAGUCAGUCUGUGCUAUUUUUUUAUAGCAGCAGAAAAAGGACUAAGACAUCAUCAUCUUCAAGAACUUAUAUUGAUCAUCUCUCUGUUAUAGAAAUUUGGCCCAUUCUAAGAUGAUGAUUUUGAAUGCUUGUGAUUGUUGCCAAGAAGUCUGUCCAUAAAUAAAACUCACAAAUUUACACUGGCUCAUUUUAAGUUUUCAAGAUGUCCAACUCAUCACCAGUUUCUCUCUCUCUCUCUCUCUCUCUUCCUUCCUUCCUUUCUCUCUCUUUCUUUCUCUUUCUUCUUUCUGUCUCUUCCUUUCCUUUCCUUUCCUUCCAAAUGCCAAACUCAAGCACAAUUUUUUUUAUUAAUUAAAACAAUAAUUCACAUGUUGGUUUUAUGUCAGACUUGUGGCAUUUUCUUCCCUGAUGUAUAUUCGUAGUGCACCAGGAUCCCCUUACGGUCAAUGGGGUGAUGAGCAAGGUGCCUAGGAGCACUGCCUCAUUCUGCUUCUGCUCCCUUUGGGCAGCCUUCUCUUCUGGAAAACUUUGCUAACAUAAUGUUUGCCCAGGAGCACAGCUGCUGAUGCUGCCUACACAUGUAGCAAAGAUAGUAGCUCAGAUCUAGCCCAGGGUAAAAGGUGAAAUGUUUGUCAAUCAGGACAGCAUCAAUCUCCAACCAGUCGGUAAAAAGACACAAGUCAGAGUGCUGGGGCAAGCCUCAUGAGGGCCCCCUGCUGGGGCCCUGGGAUUCCUAGAAGAGUGGCUUGGCAGCAAGGGUGAUAGGCGGGCACUCUGUGAUUUAGGGUCAGUGGCUACUUCCCAGCCAGCACGGAAGUGCUGCAAUAUCUUAACACCUGGUACAGCCAUCCCAGUGCCUACUGGCUGAAUGGAUGAUACUGGAUGAUCGCAUUGCAAUCACUGCUUCACUUCUGACGUCAAUUCAGGCAGGGUUAUUUUUCAUCCCUAGGAAUGCUAAAUGCUAAACACCACUGCUGCGAGGUAUGCUGAUUUGGGGAUUAGUUUUUAGGUUUCCUCCCAAAUGACGUGGACUGAUAUGGCUUUUAUUUUUCUGAGGUUCACCCAGACUUAAGUGGGAAGAAUGGACAACCAAAGAAAACAUCUGAAUCUCUGAAAUACCAUCUGACAAUUGUCUCACUAAUGUAAUAUUGAUUCUAGGUAACAACAAAUCCAAGUUAUCCUCUAUUUUUUAAAGUCUUGGUUAUCUCAUUAUUGCAAUGAGGUUAUGACUGAUCCUUCUGUCCAGAAUGUUUUUGGUGAACUGCCAUCUUAUUUUACCAAAAUGACUAAUUCCUUUUGAAGGAGAAGUAACAAAAGAUAGAGAUGAUUCUUUUGAGUGAGCCCUGUGUAUGACUCGGUACUUAGUUGUGGAGGCUGUAGGGAGUGGCCUGGUAGUGCAGGCCUGGUGCAGGCUCAACCAUGGGUGACAAUAGCCCUGCUAGCUCUGCUAACUUUUCCUCGUUAGCCUUCCUGCAGCUACAGCACCAACAGGGCUCUCCGGCAGCAGUUGUGGAGACUUUCUGGCCUGACUUCUGUCUCCUGGCCGCUUGGCUUGGAGAGUAGCCAUCAUGGAUUCUGCGUUUACUUACAACGUGCACUACAAGUUUGCGCAGCUAAACGUCUGAAGAAAAUCCCCAGAUAGAGCCUUUAGUGCUAGCAACUGAAUUGGAUCUCCAAUAUCAAGAUAGGAGCAUUUUGAGUCUAAUGUGAGAGAUACUUAGAGGAUGUCUAUGCCUUUGGUUGUUUUGUUGUUGUUUUGUUUUCCUGUGUUUUUCUUUUUUUUGACCGAGUUUCGCUCUGUCACCCAGGCUGAAGUGCAGUGGCAUGAUCUUGGUGGUUGUCUAUACCUUUGUUGUUUUUUUGUUUGUUUGUUUGUUUGUUUGUUUGAGAUGGAGUCUUGCUCUGUCACCCAGGCUGGAGUGCAGUGGCUUGAUCUUGGCUCACUGCAACUUCUGCCUCCUGGGUUCAAGCAAUUCUCCUGCCUCAGCCUCCCAAGUAGCUGGGAUUACAGGUGUCUGCCACCACGCCUGGCUAAUUUCUUUUUUGUAUUUUUAGUAGAGAUGGGGUUUCACCAUGUUGGCCAAGUUGGUCUUGAACUUCCUGACCUCAGGUGAUCCGUCUGCCUCGGCCUCCCAAAGUGUGAGGAUUACAUGCAUGAGCCACCACGGCCAGCCACCUUUGGUUUUUUAAAACAGGUUCUUAUUUCUUUGCUGAAUAAUUUCACUUUUAACUUCUCAUGAUGAAGAAUUUCCAAGUGUUACAAAAUGAGAGAGAAUAUAGACUAAUGGACCUCCUGUGUACCGACACCCAGCUUUAUCAAUAAUGUACACAUGGCCCAUCUCCUUGCACAUAAUCCCUACUCAGACAAAUACCUCUAAUACUGACUUUUUUUUGGAAGAGCCGAUUGUGUUUAACAGUGAUUUGGUAGAGUGAAUCCAUGGUAGUGCUAAUAUCAAGGUGCUUCUGUCAUUGAGCGUAGUUGUUGUACAAGGGAGGCAGAGAAGGUGUGUGUCAGAGAAGCACAGAAAGGAUGAAUGACAGAUACAUCUAGAUGGGAGCUGUUUUUUGUUUUUUGUUUUUUGUUUUUUUUGAGACUGAGUCUCGCGCUGUCACCCAGGCUGGAGUGCUGUGGCGCGAUCUCGGCUCACUGCAAGCAAUGGGAACUGUUUUAGAACAACAACUUCCAAAUAGUGUCAUUGAGUUGAGUAAGAACUUGAGGGAAAAAAGAUGGAGGAAUGCAGCUGGCUCUGGGGAAAAUAAAAUACUACCUGGGACAGAAAAAGAGAAAACUUGGGGAAUAGCACGAACCGGAAGAGGACAGAAUUACAAAGGCACACACAGUCACAAAAGUGUGCACAUGUCUAAAUGUAAAUCCGGACAGCCCACUGCAAACCAGCAGGUAGAAAUACGUUUUCUGAGAGCAAUGAAUGUAAGUCCCAGGGGCUAAAAUCUGUAAAGGCCAAGCGUGCGUUUGUGUUUCCUGGAGGCCAUUCCCUGUGUGAACAGGGAUUAACUGUUUCCCCCAGCUACUGGUCUCUUUUCUAUGUAACAUCCUAUCAGGUAUUCUACUUGAAUCUUCUAUUUCAGAUUUUGUUGGCAUGUAAUUGUCUUUCAAUUUAGUUUGAGUGAUGUUAAUAUUCUCAGAAAAUCAUCUAUCUAUAUCUAUAUAUCUUAACAUAGCCUGCUGCAUUCUCUUGGGCAAUUUUACUAUAUCUUCAGGAUGUGUCUUUUUUUUCCCCAAGACAGCACAUCCAUAAUUAAUUAAAUGAACACUAAAGUCUCAUUCAUGCCUGUAUUCAUUCAAUAAGUGGCCACUUAAUGUCUAUUAAGUGCAAGAUACUGGUGGAGGGAAAGACGCCUGUGAGCCAUGGUCAUCUGAAGAGCAUAGAGGCUGCUCAGGGCAUAGGCGGCUGCAGGCAGGGCCAUGUGGGAAUGGUGGAGCCUCCAUCAGUGCUCAGCAUGUGCCCCGGCAGCAGGCGGGUGUGUUCAGGGGAUCGAGGAUGCACACCAAGGGUGCAUCAGAGAAGCAGCGGGUAGCAUGAUCUUGCCUUCCAGGGUGCACUGAAUUCACAUUCCAGCUCUGUGGCUUAUUGCUCCUGGAAAUCUGGGAUGAGUUAACUUCUUUCUACCUUACCUCCUUCAUUUAGGAUGCUCAUAGUUGUAUCUACCUCCUACAAUUUGUGAGUUGUGAGUGAAAAAGUCAAGUGUUGUAAGGAAAUGAGUGUGAAGUGUUGUAAGGAAAUGAGUGUGAAGUGUUGUAAGGAAAUGAGUGCCAUGAUCAUUACUCUGCCUUGGCAAAGCGGGACCAGCUUCCGAUAUGGCCAGGAGGAGGACUGGGGCUAGGCCCUGGUAGGGGAGAGCAGGGUGCCUGGGGAGCUCAGGGAAAGGAAAGGUGGGCCCCCAUUAUGACACCCUGUUCAGGGUUUGGGGAGUGGCUGGACCGCCUUUUAUAUAGAGCACCCUUGACAGAAGUAACUCCAUUUUAGGAAAAGACUCCUUACAGCUCAAAAGGCAGUCAUGCCAACAGGACUGAUACUCACCUAAUCAGUAGAGGCGACACCCAACCAAAGGAGGGUGUAACCAGAACCUCUCUUUCCUGUCAGCUCUCACCAGAGGACUCCAGGGCUAUCAGAAGAGCAGGAGCAUCAUGAGUUUGACGCGGCCAUCCUGCUAAUUCUGUUUUGCAGUCACUCGUGGUCAGCACCUGCAUUUGCCCCUGAAGUCUCUGCCCAAAUCAAAAACUCUUCCUUGCAAAAUGUUGGUGACCAUCUGGAUCAGCUAGGACACUCAGCCUAGGAGAGUGUCACAUCGCUUUCCUUGGACUAGUUCAUUAACUCCUUUCCCUACCCUGUUUUCCUCUUAAUGUUAAAUUUUACUCUUUUUGAUGUGAAAGCUUUAACCUAUAACAUUUCUAUAUUAAGUAUACUACUAUGUAUGGCUUGCAGUAUUAACUGACUUGUGGAGUGGCUGGAGCCUGUGUGCCACCAGGUCUGACUGCCUUGUGAAUGCUUUGUGAAUGGCGCUAAGGAGAAUCGCCUCCUUGGGAACGCCAUGUAUCUCCUGGCUUUUAUGAUUGAAAUAGCAUCCAUAAAAGUCUGACCUUGUGGAAAGACACGAACGUGUGUGGACCUGGUUAUGUUUGACCUUGCGCCACUCAUGACACAUCCGGAAAAGAGAGCUAAGUCAGCUGAGUGGGGAAAGGCAAUUUAAGAAGGAGAACACAGGUUGGAAUGCAUCUGGCAAGAGAUGAUGAGUGGGUCAGCCAGUGGAUGGAGCCCCAAAGGAGGCAGCGGGAAGUGGCCCUGGCCUGCAGGGUUCAGGCGUCUGUUGCUUUGGGAACAGUGAUGCUUUGAUCCACUGCCUUUGAAUCCUGGAGUUUUAGGAGAAGUCCUUGAUAGUCACCAGCUUUCCCUUUAACAGCUUGAAAGUUGGAAAGGUGAGGUGCUGAGCCCAGGUCCACACAGCUGGUUCUGAGGAGCAGGCCAGUACUUGAGCUCAGUUUCGUGCAUUCCUAGUCCCUUUGCCUUUCUUGCUUUUGCUGCCCGCCUUGUCAGGAGAAUGAAAGAAUCAAUAUGCGUGGAGUGCCCACCCUGUGCAAAGCAACAGCCUGUUCCCUUUAGACGAAGAAGGCAAGAAUCCAGGCCAAGGGGUAAGCUGCUUCAGUGCUGUCAUUCUACACGGUGACCAAGGUUGUUAUUUUAUAUUCAACCUUCUUGUAAGGUCAGGGAAUGACAACACAUUAUUCAUCCUUUGAUGUUUGCUAAGCAAAUAUAAAGUUUGUAAGUUGGCGUGAACCCAGUGUUGGUUUGAGAACUCUCAAAUUGCAGCUUGCAGAGUUGUGGGUGAGGGUAAGAGAUACAGAGAUGUGAUAAGGAAGGAGCAUAGCAGAUCUAUGCAAAACUAACCAUUUGUAAAUUGCAUGGAAAAUUGUGUUUUUGCACUGUUGUGUUUUCCCUACUGCCUUUCAUUGCAUUUGUAAAUGGGGUGCAGAUUUAAGCCCCCAGUAUUUGGCAGUCUUUAAAGAUAGUCUGUUUUUGGUUUCGAAGAACUUCAGAACUGUGCUUCUUAACUUUAUUAGGAAGACUAUGCACAUUUAUGCUUUGAAGAAAAUGAACGCGGAUUAAAGAUUAAGGAAUUUGUGAAAAUGGGAAGUCAGGGAAUUUGCUCAGUUAGGACUGAUGGAGAGGCUGAGUGACCUUAACAUCAAAAGGAAUGUCUCUAUGUGAUACUGUUUCCUGUCUGUUUCUGGGAGAGCAUUUCAGUCACAUUUUAUCAAAGGCUUAAUCUGCUGAUUUUUGGUGAGUUUGUAUGUUUUUUUCUUUCUUUUUUCUUUUUACUUCAUAAUAAAAUUUUGAAUUGACCUAAAUCUGAUAAUUUAUUCAAAAUAAAGCCAAGGAGCUAUUUUGCCUGAGGACACAGAGCUUGAAGGGGACAAGUGAACAGAGUGAGGAGAAAGGGCUUCUUUUCUUAGAUUUGCUGUGACUCAGCCGAGAUCCUGAGUGAAUGACUCAAUUUCUCUUUACUUUAGUUUCUCCAUUUGUAAAACAAUUUUAAUAAUACUCGGGAUUGCUGCCUGUGAAAUAACUUUAUCCCCUCAGAAGAAAUGAGCUAUCAAAAUACAAUAUGUGAUUAGGCAAUCUGUAGCUUUUGAUUGUGUACUAAGGGGCCAAGUUUAGCAAUAUUUUUUUGGCCAGUGUUCUGAAGGAAAUAGUUUGAUUUUCACAAUCAGUUGGGCUUACCAGCAAAUAAUGAUCACAAAAGCUAUGUGUCUGAGUAAAAUACAAGUUAUUUUCUAGCAUGCUGGCUCCCACUGUUCCAGGCAGCUAAAUAUGUAGAUGGUUGUUCAGCUUCACUGUUAUUUUUUUGGUCUUGUCUCAUCAGAUACGCAUUCCAAGAAAUUAAGAUUUGUUUCACCAUUAAACUGACAUUCUCAACUGCACUCCAAUCAACUGGAUAAAAGCAGAGAACCCAUCAGAAGCUGUUUCUGGUUGACUAUCACCUUUCAAAGAAUAUGUAUUGGGAGAGAGCCUUCAUACUUCUCAAUUAGUGAUUGUUAGAAAUCACUAAUGAUGUAUUGUAAGAUGCUUUUCAUGUCAAAGUGUUCCAAAACCCUUUGCAAGCGCACAUAUAAACAGGCAUUACUUCACCGCCAUUGAAAUGCAGCCACCUCUUGGACAAAAUGUGGCCGCUGUUUAAUAAUGCAUAGCAACAUUCCAAAACAAUGGAGGCCUGGAAGUAAGGGGCAAACUUGCAUCCAACUCAAAUCACCUGGGAAGUUUUCUGGGCUGAGUUAGUUGUGCUGUAAGGGAGCUUUUGUAACUGCAGGAGGCCAGGACAUUAGUUUGACGUCUGUUUAGGAAAGUAGGCUCCAUUCUGCUCAGCACCCCUGGAUCACGCUCACCUGUUAAAUCAUCCAUGUCCCAGACUGUAUGUAACUUGAUGGACAGUCCUCUGAAAUGGGGCCAGUUUUUGAUACCAGCUGACAGAGGGGCUGGGCAGUAUGGAGAGGUGGCCUUUCAUGAGAGACAGGGUGGGCAGACCCCUGCAACAAGAUUUGGAACUGGGAAUGGUCCUGGGUGAUAGAAAGCAGAGAUUCAUCCAAUUCUUUCUGGUUACUGUAAAGUGUGUUCUCCAACUUUGGAAAUCUUUCCCACAAAUUCAUUAACCUCUGGUCUAUGCCAUCCUUCAUACUGAUCUACUCUGAUGGGCCACAGAUCUUGAAAAAGAGCCAGAAAAAAUGUCUCUUUUUGGACCAAAAUUUGAUUAGCAAAAAUAGCUUAUCCUUUAGGCAAAAGAAUAACUCAAUUUACAAGUAGAUUAACCUGUUCUGAAUAGGAAAAUCAAAGCUCAAUGACCACUUGUAUUGCUUUACACCUUCUGUGGUCCCCAGGGUAGUGUGAUUAUUUUUAUGGAUAAAGAGGGAAGUCAACACAGCAUACUAAAACUUACGGGAUGCAUUAGAAGAAGUGCUCACAGGGAAAUUGAUCGCUGUGCAUGCAUACAUUAAAGAAAAAUGAAAACCUCAAUGUAAUAACCUAGUCAUACACCUUAAGGAACUAGGAAAAGAGGAGCAAAUUAAACCUCAAACCAGCACAGGGAAGAAAAUAAAGAUUAGAGUGUAGAGAAGUAAAAUAGAGAAUAAAAAAUUAUAGAGAAAAUCAAAACCACGAGUUGAUUUUUUGGAAAGAUCAAAGGGUUGACAAGCCUUUAGCUAGACUAAGAGGAGGAGAGUCCAUCGUGGCAGGGUCUUUUUCUUUCAUUCUGGGGGCUUGAUGGGGCUGGGCUGGUCUCUUUUCUCACUCACAGAAAGAUCUGGGAGUCUUUUCAGUGUUGUCUUGGAUGACGGAGUGUAGUGGAGCAUCCAAGACCCUUCCUGGGAGGCUGUGUGUCACAGGUCAAAGAAAACUGUGUGUCCUCCACACCCUAAAUAUUCUUAUAUGAACAAAAAAGGAAACACAAACAUCCAAGGCCAUCCUACAGUGGAAAAGAGCAGCCUGGAGCUGGGGCGGGGGCUGGCAGGCAGAGCCCGGGCUGAGUCAGAUUAGGAGGAACAUGCGGUGGUGGGGAUGAUGUUUGCAGAGUGAUUGUCUAGCCAAGGUCUUGGCUAGAGCCAUUGGCUGGUAGGGCCACUGCGGUCCCUACCCUGAAUCACCCUGGAGCCCAGCAGCUGUCUUCUCAACAUGCAGGAACCAGGGCUGUGGUUCCAAUUCACCGUAUCCUGGUGACAGUUCUGAUUCUCCAUGGAAAAUUCCGUAUUUCCCAACUAGGUCCAAAUUAAAUAUUGACUUUACUAAUUUUAAAUUGUUUCACCCAGAGACAUGUACUUUUAUAAGGACAUUCUGAAGAAAUAUUUUGAGUGAUUGCUAAGGCACUUCUGCUAGACAAGGCUUCAUGGAGGUGCAGUUGUGGGGAGCAGCAGAGAUGUGCCUGCAGCAAGCAUCCUGGCCUGUGGGAGGGGCAGCAAGAGCCUGGAACCCUGAAACACUGCCCCUGACCAGGCACGGGGCACAGCUGCUGGGCUCCUUUGGGGUGUUCACCGUGCAUGUCUUGCGGAAGCUGUCCCCUCUGCCCUGCAGGACAUCUCAGCGUCCUCUGAGUCCUGGUGAUUUGUAGGCUCUUCUUCUGCCUGGCUGUGGAUACACAGUGUUUCACGCCUGGGCUAGCCUUAGGGACUACCAAGGGUCCCCUUUCUCUGGGUGUCUUUCUUACCUAAUCCACAUUUCACUUCAUCUCUACGGCGUGUCCAAAAGCAAAAUUUCAACAAAUGGAGUUGACAGAUUGAGUUGACUGUUAUUAGUCAUAGCCCAUCUAAAGAUUUAGACGGGUGCUGCACUGGGCAUGACAGUUGGUUUCUAUAAGGCUGCUUGAGCAGGAGCAAGGAAAUGGCAUAAUACAAAAAGCAGGUGGGCUAACAUCUGGUGAUUUCAGGUUGCUUUUCUCCAAAGGGUUAAAGCAGAGGGGAUUUCCUUAUCAUGCUGGCUGAAAGUGGCUUCCUUAGAAAUUUGGCUGUUAUCUCUCCUGAUUUCUCAGAAGGCCAGAUAAACACUUUCAUUUCUGUUUGGUGGCAUGAAACUUUAGCCUGAGUGACUCCAUUUUGGUGUGAUCUGUUGAGGCGUAGUUUCGGAGCUCACUCCAAAUCAAUGGCCUCCCUUAAGUCAUAUUUAGCAAGUACCAGCAACGUAUGUCUCCAGCACAACUGGUGGAACCAAGUUAGUUCCGUUUGACGAUUGUUAGGAUGUUCUCCAGUCACCUUCCCUGCCCCCUCACUUGAUGUCAGGUCAAUGUGUUAUCUCACCCAGGAGAGCAUUGUUCUUGAAAGCCAUCCUCUACUCAUAAAAAGCAGUGAUUCUCCAGGGCAUGUAAGGGAAUUUGGUGUUUUUUCUGAAUAGGAGGGAGAGACAUCAACAGAUGUAUUGGAAUGGAUUGGGAGUUGGAGGUGAUGAGACUGGAGUUUGGGAUCCGUCCAGGAACCUAAUAAGAUGAUCCUAUAGAGAGACGUUGGGGUCUUAUCAAAAGCGUUGGCCAGAGGAAACUGUUACCGGGAGCUACCACUCUUCCCUUCAAAAAUGAAACUGACAUUGACAGGAUGAGGACAUUUCUCCAUAACGAAUUCCAGGAUCCUUUGUGGAAUGCAUGUGGCGGUGUAGGCACUGGGCUGGGAGUGGUAUGCACAAGAAGGAGUGUGUCCUGGUUCUGCCCUCGGGGACCUCUCAGAAACUUGACGGAGACUUUCAUGCUAACGCUGGUAUAGCAAGCUCACCUGCAUCGUAAUUAUGCGUUUCACACAGGCUUAAUGAAAUAGUAGACACAAAACGCAGGAUAAUUACUUAAAAUUGAGGCAAGACAUUUUCUUGUAUCCUGUAAGUAUUAAUGUUUAGUGACCCAGACAAGCCUCUUUUAAACUUUUUUCUUUGAGCCAUUUAUAAUAUACCAAACUUUGUCUAGGAGGAAAAAAGUCACACUAGUUAGUCCUCAUACUAUCUUCUGUUCAAUCAACCUACCUUGUCUCUUCUAGAAAUUAUUAUUUCCACACUUAGUGCAAGCACAGUAAACACUUAUUUAGUAUUUUUAUUCUUUAACCUUUUUAAAAUUUCUAUGAAUAUAUAAUAGUCAUAUUGUAUUUUAAAUAUUAAAAAUUAUACUUAUUCAUUAGUAUGCAAAGCAAAAGAAAACAAAACCCAGCGAAAUGUUAGGCAUCUUAUUCUCUAGGAUUUAUUCAUGUUGUAAAAAAAUGGCUUGGCUUUUUGCUUAGAUAGGAGCACUUGACCUGUGUUUGUGAAUUUUGUAGGAUUUCCUAUGUCUUAUUCUGCAGGCAGCAUUGACAAUCGCCGUGCAUGCACCUUAGCAUCUCUCUGUAGUGGAUCAGCCAGGAAUUGCUGACAAGGACCCCGCAUGGAUAAGGAUGUAUGUGUGGCCACAAGGAAAUCUUUCCUGGCUGAGGCUGAGUUGGAGACCCUCUGUGUGCUUCCCUGUCACCUGGGCUCACCUGUCCUGACACUCCUGAUUUGACCUGCUGCCUGAAUGAGCCGCAGCUGAUGGAGUGAGUAACAAAACGGAAAGCUUCCCUCUCUGUGCCCUCUCACAGGAGGGGAUAAUAGCUGUUGGUUUUCCAAGAAUAGGCAUUCUUAGACAUGACUGGGAUGACAACAAUAACAGUUAAUUAUCAACAGAGAGGAAACUAAAAGAACUCAAUGUCCUGACUUAAAGGAAUGCGGGCAAAGGAUAGUGGGUCAAACCCGCAUUCGUAAGGGUUAGACUUUUCUAUGUAAGUAUUGAGUUGUGGAAGUCAGAAUGUAAUAAUUAUUAGUGAUAGGGCCAGUAGGGUGUUGACUUACCUCAUGGAUUAUAUAAAACCCCUGGUCUUUGGCACCUUCCUAACAUUGGACGUAGGUCACCCCUGCACAAGCAGCGAAGGAGCAAGCACUAAGAUCUAACCUCCAAGUGCAUGUCCAAGCUUAGCUUCUGUGACUUUUCUCCCAAAGCCUGACUCAUCUACUCCCAGUCCCCGAUGCAUCUUACCUUUUGAGCGUGCUAUGUAAGAAUUUGCCCCCUCUCUGCCUGGCAGUAAAUGUUGUCGGUGAAGUGGUUCCAUCAACAGGAAUUCACGUAGAGCAGUGGGGUUGUUGAAAUAUAAAACUUAUUCUGAUUCCUCUUUACUCAGAAUUACUUCUGUUGUUCUAAGUUAGUCAUGUGUAGAGACUACUGACAAUGCUAAAAUCAUUCACUGGGCAGAUUGAAAUGCAUUUUGUGGAUGUUUUCUCUCUUAGAAAAAUAAUUGUUAUCAUUUGAAUUUUUUUCUGCGUCUUAGAAAUAUUUUUCUCCUUGUGUUCCUGUAUGAUUGGUUUGGUGCACAUCUUCACUUAACUCUCCACGAUUCUCUCAGGUUCUGAUGAUAUGAGAGACUGACUCCAAUACCUCUGUGUCCCUAGGAGAUUGUAAUUGAAAUGCGAGCUCUUAGCAUUUUCUCUGUUUUGAGCUUAAAACUGAAGAACUAAAAAAAAAGGAAUUAUUAGAGACAUCAUUUUAAACAUUCUUUCUCAAUGGGUUUUCAUAGAUAGAGAUGCUUUACUAAAUGUUGAAUUAUUUUGGUAAGUGAUUAUACAUCUUUACAUUCAGGACAGGAGCCUUUCAAUUUGUGUUUUUGUGUUGCUGAGGUCACUGUUUUUUGUUUGUUUGUUUGUUUGUUUUUCCGUUUGUGGGUGGGUAUUUGGAGGUAAGAAAGGUGGUGAACUCAAGAGUAGAAGUCACAGAAGUUACAUGACACUUUAAGUUUGAGAAAGGACUGAAUGAGCCACGUUUAACAAAGUCAGACUUGUUACAGAAAAAGAAACAGAAAACCUUUAGAAAAUGGCAUAUAGCUCAUGCUUGUAAUCCCAGCACUUUGGGUGGCUGAGGCAGGAAGACUGCUUGAGGCCAGGAGUUCAAAACCAGCCUGGGCAACAUAGCGAGAUUCUGUGUCUACAAAAAAUAAAAAUAAAAAAUAAAAAUAAAAAAAAUUAGCUGGGCAUGGUGGCAAACAUUUAUAGUCCCAGCUCCCUGUGGGGCUGAGGUGGGAUUGUUUGAACCUGGGUAGUUGAGGCUACAGUGAGCCAUGAUCAUGCUACUGUACUCCAGACUGGGUGACACAGUGAGGCCCUGUAUCAAAAAAAAAAAAAAAAAAAAAGAAAAUCGCAGAGUACAAAAACUAAGAGAUGCAUUCUGGAAAAAUAACAAAACGUGCCGCCAGUCCUAACACCUCUAUGUUUUGUAUUUUAACCCCCUCCUUGGUUAAGUGAAGGGGAAGUGAAGACCACAGUGACUCGUUUCCUUUAGAAACACUGCUUAUUGGCCUGACAUCAUGGAAAGAAAUUUCCCCAGCUAUUUUGGUAGUGGUGGUAAUUCAACCCUGAAUGUAAGAACUGAAACCUUCUCCCACAUCUGAGGUCACCAUAAACCAUUGUGCAAGUCACUAACUCUUUGGCCAUUUCAAGUCAUUGUUUGUCUUUCUAACAACAGUCUCCAUAAAUCAGUCACUCGGGUGUUCUCAGGCAUUGGAAUGAAGUGUGAGUUUUCUCAUCCUUGGAAAUUAAUUGAAAUCAACCAGGAGGAUCAGAUGGCAAGGUGAUGAAAUCAGAGUCAAAGGAGGGAUGGACUAAGAAGCGGAGCCUUGGCCUGCAUGCUCCUCGAGGCCUCCGGUUCCCCUUUGCUGAUGUGCUCUCCCCAGUGCAAUUGAGUUUGUUUUCACUUCCUGUUAUUCCAAUAGGUCAUCACUCUUGGUGUGUGAAUGUUUGACCUCUCCCUGUUUCAUUACCCAAACCACCGCCCCAUCAAAACACCAGCAACAACUGCAGCUUUAGGAGAAGGAUGCCAAGUUUGAUUUGUUUUUUAGGUAAAGAGUCAUCUGAUUUUAGCAAGAUGGUAACCUGGUGAAUGUAAAAGUGAAAAGUUCAGCUCAACAAGGGCUAUGUUUUUCUUGUAGAUGUCAGAGGAUAUUUUUCAGAUGGUUCUAAAGUGGUUUCUUUUC